AUACUUACCUUGAAGGACAUUUCAGAGAUCAUGCAGACUGAAAUGUGAAUCUGGAAACUCUCCUCCUUGCACUCAGAGGAUGAUUAGCCAAUGGAAUUUGGUCAAUAAUCAAAGUGGUUGUUGCCCUCCUUCUCAAUUUUUUCCUGUGAGGAUUCAUCUGGUAUGAUUUCUCG
rnacentral:snRNA from 10 species